GUCAGUGUGGUGUAGUGGUUUGAGUGUUGGACCAGGACUCUGGAAGGCUAGGGUUCAAAUCCCUGCUCUGCCA